ensembl:lncRNA
AGUCAAGUCACGUUUAUUUGUAUAACGCUUUAUACAAUACUGGUUGUGUGUCAAAGCAGCUUUACAGUGUUAAACAGGAAAAUAGUUUGUCAACAAUACAAGAAGACAAUAACAGAGCAAAGCAAAGGUUGUACUUCCUGGGACAUCUAAGAAGUUAAUCAUCGCAUGUUUCCUGACAUAAUCCAUAACUGUCUGGUACGGGUCAGUCACGGCAUCUGACUCCAGCACACUGUACGCUCAUCUAAGAAAAUCUUUGGCUAUGGUCUGCCCAUUUGAAUUAAGAUUCAGGAAGCGGGCAGUCC